GAAUUCCUCUGGAAUUUCCUUCGGAAAUUCCUCUGGAAUGUCCGUAGGGAAUUCCUCUGGAAUUUCCUUCGGGAAUUCUUAUAGAAUUUCCUACAGGAAUACCUCUGGAGUUUUCUUCGGCAAUUUAUCUGGAUAUUUCUUCGGGAAUUCUUCUUGAAUUUCCUCUUGAAUUUCCUUCGGGAAUUCCUCUGGAGUUUUCUUCGGGAAUUCCUCUGAGGAUUCCUUCAUAAACUCAUCAGGGAGUUUCUUCGGGAGUUCUCCUAGAUUUUAUUUUCUAUUCUUUGAAAGUUCCUUCAGGAACUCUUCAGGAUGUUCCUUCUUAUAUUUCACUGACAACCCCUUCAGGAAUUGAUCAUGAAAUUUCUUUAGGAAUUCUUCAAGAUUUCUCUGGAAGUUCCUUCAGGAAUUUCACUGGAAGUCUCUUCAGGAAUUGCUCUGGAAGUUCAUCAGUAAUUCUUGAAGGAACUUUCAUAAGAAUUACUUAAAGAACUUCCAGAGAAAUUCCAGGAGCAUCAUCCACAGGAAUUACUGAAGAGGCCUCCAGUGAAAUUUUUAAAAGAAAUUCCAGAGGAUUUCGGGAACGAACCCCAGUGUAAUUUCUGAAGGAACAUCUAAAAGAAUUCCUAAACGAACUUCAGGAAUAUGGCCAAGUGGUUUCACAUAGAAAAGUUAUACUUGUAAUAGUCACCAACAUGCUGGCGCUGAAAAUUCUAGAAGUUUGUUAGAUCGCAUACUAGGGUUUGUUUCAUGUAGGUGAGUGGCCACCUCCCUGAAGGCAUGGCCCCUAGUCCAGAACAUGGUCAAGUGGUUCCGAAAAGAAAAGUCAUCCUUGUAACGAUCACCAACGAGCUGGCACUGAAAAUUCAUGAAGUUUGGCUCAGGUCGGUUAGUAGCCUCAGGGGGCAUGGCCUCUAGUCGGAAACAUGGCCAAAUGGUUCCACCAAAAAAGGUCAACUUUGUAAUGGUCACCAAUGAGCUGGUACUGAAAAUUCAUGAACUUUGAUAGGUCGCAUGCAAGGGUUUGUUUCAUGUUGGUAAGUGGCCACUUCCCCGGGGGCGUGGUCUUCAGUCCGGAACAUGGCCAAGUGAUUCCACAAAGAAGGGUCAUCUUUGUAAUGAUCACCAACGAGCUGGCACUGAAAAUUCAAGAACUUUGAUAGGUCGCACGUUAGGGUUUGGCUCAGGUCUGUAAUUGGCCACUUCCCCGGGGGCGUGGCCAUCAGUCCGGAACAUGGCCAAGUGGUUCCACAAAGAAGGGUCAUCCUUGUAAUGGUCACCAAAGAGCUGGCACUGAAAAUUCAUGAAGUUUGAUAGGUCGCACGUUAGGGUUCAGCCCAGAUCGGUAAUUGGCCACUUCCCUGGGGGCGUGGAAUCUGUAACGUGUUCAGGUGGUUCCCAGAGAGUUCAUGAAUGCUUCCGGAUAUUGUCGAAACAUUUUACCGAGUUUUUGCAGGAUAAAUAGCCUAGAAAUAAUGCGAAAUCCAUCAAGCUGAUCACAAAUUCUAGAGUUCUCUGAUUCAAGAUAAUCUAUUACCCCAACGGAAUCCGGAAUAUCUCCGGAACCACUUGGUCAAUCCAAUCCAUCCUUGGACCGUCAAAACUAGGGAAAAAUCCCGAUCCAACCGAGCCAAGAGAAUUAAAAACGGUUUAGAUAUGACUAAGUUAGAGCAAAAUGAAGGUAAAAAUGAUGUGUCAAAAAGUAUGUUAGUACAGCAAAGGUUAAUAACCUGCGGAACGGUUAACCAGAAAAUAAGCUCAUACCACAUUAGAGACUACCGGUAUGGUUGCACAACCAGCGUUUGGUGCUUCGCCAGAACUACGAAAGUAAAUAAAAUCAAUGCAAGCGAUAAAAAUGUGUAAGAGAUCAAAAUCUUGACAAAUUAAACCCACAGACAAAAAGACGUUACACUAUAUUCACUAACUAUCGUUCUUUUUUCAAAGGUCAAUAAAAUGUAGCCUAAAUGUGCAGAAAAACUUUUUUCACAAACUUUGUCGAAGACCGCAAAGUGGUCUGUGAUUGUGUAAAAAGUCAUGUCUUUGCUUGUUAGUAUCGUCUUGAUAUUGAACAGUCUCCAGUGCUAGCGAAAGUGCUCAAGCAGUCAACUGAGAAGUCUGAUAUUAUUCAGCUCUGCUUAUGCUUUGAACAUAACAUCGGACUAUGUGCCAUCAUAAGUUUUCAAUUCUAUGAUGGCUUUGAUAAAAUGCUUGCUUUUCUUAAAAAAUAUCAGGAUUCAGGAACACUUUGACUUACGUCGACGAAGAUCGUGAGAACAUAUUCGACGAGAAAGGCACUAUCACCACUAGGUGGAUUAAUUUGGGAUUUUUUUAAUCCGUUUCUAGUUCUAGCGAUGGCUAAUAACAUAGGUAUAUACAUGAGAUGUAUAUGUAGAGAAGAGAAUACAGAGAAAGUAGAUAGAAAGAUACAAAGUAGGAGGAAAAGGACGGGCCGGGGAUUGAACCCAGGAACUUCUGCAUACGCAUCAGAAACGGUUGCCACUAGACCACCAAGCUUGUCUAGAUGACGAAUGAAAGCCUGAACAAAUGACUAACUAUGGUAAUAUCAACCUCAUGUCGCUUUGAAUACGUAUCUAUCCAGAGCGUUUGCGUUAAUCCAUGCGUGGGAAAUUCGUUUGAAACCCUAUCUUAGCAUGCAGAAAGCUUUCCAUCAUAAGAGAUUGCCAUCAUCGUCGCGUCUCCAAACAGAUACUGACUCAACUCAAUCGUCUGAUUUGUCAGGCGGGAAUCUCCCGUGAGUCUAAUCGCUCUCUGUCCCCCGCCGGAAUCAGGAUACAAUUUUAAGGUCGCUCCUAGCCCAUCUACUUAAUACGACGCCCUGUGCCCGAACCGAACCGGCCUAUUGACGUCAAUGAAAUCUCCCUUCGCGCCCAUCAGAACUCGUCUAAUGAUUCAGUAAAUAAAUACCUACUAGGAGAAUACUAUAAAUAAUUUAUCGAUCAUUUGAAACAGGGAACGUUACGGACCGGAAUCCAACACAAGCGGAGACGGCAACGGUACCCGUUUUUGAUUUAUCAUCUUUCCUUCGUCGCAUAUGGGCCGAAACGUGCCAAACACGUUUCGUUCGCUAUCUUUACAACGCCGCCAUUGCCGCCACCCCGUUCUGAGAGCACCAUACCAGCUCUCUAGCUCCAGUCCAACUCAUCGCGGAUAACCCCGCGUGUGCGACGGCUUUUCAGAACCGCCGUCGUUAACAUCUCGAUCUCGUUGCGGUUCGGGUUCAUUCAUUGCGGUCGUCAGUGUUUCUCAACCGUAGAUAUCUGGUCCUAUUAACAUUUCAAAAGUUUCGGGAAUUGACGGUAGGUACUGAGGUUCAGUACCAACAACUGUCAGAAAAGUGCGGAAAAGGUAGGCAUUCCAUUUUCCCUGAACUAUAUAAGCAAUUCCUCCAGAAUUUUUUCAGUGAUUCAAUCAUAGAUUCCUCUAGAUAUUCCUCCAAGAGUUCAUCUAGGGAGUCCACCAGACAUAUCUUCGGGGAUUUAUCCUGGGAUAUCUUAAGAGCUUCUUUCAGUGAUUGUUCCAGUGCUGUCUUCGCGGUUUCCUCCGGGAAUUUCUCCAGAGAUCCUUUAACCCUCUAAUGGAUACCUGGGGUCCAUUUGGACCCCAGGCAACUUUGGAGUAAUGGCAAACAAGUUGGGUAUAACAUAUUGACUUUACCUUCAAACAAGACCUAGUUUUAUUAUUUAAUCAAAAAUAAAGUUGAUUUCAUGGCAUACUUUAAUUUUUAUUCCAUGUCAAAGUUGAACCGGGCGAUUUUGUAUACCUGGGGUCCAUUUGGACCCCAAAUUGAAUUCACUAUAACUUUUGCUUCCGAUGUUUUAGAAUAUUCCUGUCUUCGGCAAAUUUGUUCGGUAAGUCAUGCGCCAUCUGGCGGUGAAUUGGUUAAUUCGAAAUUUCCUCACUAGAUGGCGCUAUUUGGCAUAAACAAUUUAGUAAUAUAAUGUCUUCAAACGAAAUUAUCGGAAGAUCUAGAGCUUGUAGAAGCGUCACGUUUUCGGGAAAGUUGCUCAGUAAGUCGAGCGCUUACAGAUAAUGGACCGAUUGAUUCGAAAUUCCACCACUAGGUGGUGCUAGUGAGCAUGUAAAUUUCGUAUCUCAUAUAUCACAGGAUCCUUAUCACUUAGAAAGAUGACGCCUUCGAGAAAGUUGUUGUGUUUGUCAAUUACUUACAUAUAAUAAGCCGUUUGAUUUGAACCUCCACACAUAGGUGGCGCUAGUGAGCAUGCAAAUUUUACAUCUCAUAUAUCUCAAGAUCCUAAUCACAUAGAAAGAUGGUGUGUUCGGUAAAGUUGUUUCAUAGGUCAAGAACUUACAGAUGAUACAAAAUUUGAUUCGGAAAUCCACACAUAGGUGGCGCCACUGAGUAUGUAAAUUUUAUACUUCAAAUAUCCCAGGGUCCGAAUUACUCUCUUACCGUUUCUACUAUCUUUAUGGCUAGUUUCCACCUGGUAAGUACUGUGUAAAAAGAUAGGACAAGUAAUGGUCACGUAAAACUUUUGCAAUCAAAAUUACUUAAGCGUUUGCAGUUGAUAAGUAAUUUGCAGCCAGAAAGAUUUGCCAACAGAUGGCAGUGUCAUGCGAUGCUGUCAGUCAUGUUGUUAAUUUUCCGUACGGAAUAAUAUGUCGAUGUAUUAUUCCGUGAGUAAAAGUGACUUUCUCUUUCUUUUUUGUUUCAUCUUUCGCACCGCAGACAUCAGUGUGCAUUAAGCUGUUAGUACACAGAGGCCUUAGGCCUGUAGUACACAGGGUCAAAUAUUUGACAAGGAAAGAACUCAAGAAACAACAUUAGUUUCAAGCGGAAAACGUAAUGGGGCCGGCAACGGUAUGCGGAAGCACUGCGGUAUGGACCAAUCCGCAAGUAUGGCGCUGCGGUAAAACACAAUGACCGCGGAUUUCUUGCGGUUAAUUUCAAAACAACUUCAGUUUGGUGAAUAUGUUUGUUUCCUGGAAGAAAAGAAUUGUGUGAGAAUCUGAGUUCACGGGAAUUCAUCCAGAAGUUCUCUUUCAGUUCUUCCUCCAGAAGAUUAUCAGGGAUUCCUCCGGAGUUUCUCGGUCAUUCCCAAGGGAGUUCCCCGUAAAUUCCUCCAAGAGUUCCCCGGGAAUUCCUCAAGGAGUGUUCCGGAAACUCCUCCAGGGAUUCCCCAGGAAAUCAUCCAGAAAUUAUUAGGUUUUUCCAGGAAAUCCCCGAUAAAACUUCCGAGAGUUCCCUAAGAUUGCCUCCAGAAGUUUUCGUUAAUUCCUUCAGGUGUUUGUCGGGAGAAUAUUCAGGAGUUCCCCGUGAAUUCUUGUAGGAGAUUCCAUCAGAAAUUCUUCCGGAGAUUCCUUCAGAAAUUCUUCCGGAGAUUCCUCCAGAAAUUCCUCUGGAGAUUCCUCCAGGAAUUCUUCCGGAGAUUCCUCUAGGAAUUCCUCCGGAGAUUCCUCUAGGAAUUCCAUCUGAGAUGUUUCCAAUCAUUCCUCUGGAGAUUCCUCCGGAAACUUCUUCGCAAAUUCUUCCGGAGAUUCUCUCAAAGAUUCCUGCAGUAAUUUCUUCGGAGAUUCCUCCUGAGAUUCCUCAAGGAAUUUCUCCGGGGAUACUUCCAGAAAUAUCUCCGGAGAUUUCUCCAGAAAUUUCUCCACAGGUUCCUGCAGGUUCCAGGAAUUGAUCCGGAGAUUCCUUCAGGAAUGCCUCCGGAGAUUCCUACAGGAAUUCCCUCAAAGAUUGCUGCAGUAAUUUCUUUGGUGAUACCUUCAAGAAUUCCUUCGUAGAUUUCUUCAGGAAUUCUCCCGGAAAUUCUUCCGAGGAAUCCUCGGGGGAAUUCGUGGAAGAAUCCUCGGAGAAACUCCUGGAGGAAUCCUCGGAGGAAUUCCUGGAGGAAUCUCCGGAGGAAUUCUGGGAGGAAUUUCUGGAGUAAUCUCCGAAGAAACCUCCGGAGGAAUUCUUGGAAGAAUCUCCGGAGCAAUUUCUGGAGGAAUCUCCGGAAGGUUUUCCCCGAGGAAUUUCCGAAAUAAUACUGCAGAAAUCUCCGGAGGAAUCUUUGGAGAAAUUAUUAGAGAAAUCUCAGGAGGAAUUCUUGAAUGGAUACCUGAUCUCCCUGAUGCCACUCCUGGUGUAAUCUUAAAAGAAAAUCCUGGAGAAAUACCAGAAGAAACUAUAAGAGGAACCCAACAGUUUACUCCUAGAGGAGAUCUAGAAGGAGCUUCUGGAAGAAUCCCGGAAGAAGUUGCUGCUGGAAGGAUUGCCCAGAUAGUAAUACAAUUAAAAGUUCCCCCAGAAUCCCAGCGCAAUGUUUCUCAUCAGUAUUUUCCUUGGAAAGCUUCACAACUCCGUUGGAAUCUCACUAUCUGGAUUUUCCCCAGAAGCCCAUCCAAAAGUUUUAUAUUGAAUCAGUUUUCAAACACGCGCGCGAAAAAGUACAUUUCAAUUUCAAUAACAUUUCCAAGAACAUUUCCUGACGAAACGAACGAAAUUUCUAUGAGUCCAAAUCGUAAACAACCUGGUGCCCUUUUCUUCACAUCCUUCUUACAGCAUCGUUUCGUUAAAAUGCUGUCAGUUAAACAAAUGUCAAAAUUACUUACGGAAAAAGGUGAUAUUUUACUUGAGCGCUCUACUUGGCAACAGGAAACUUAGCUUUAGCAAAGAUGUUUGGUAAGUCAAGAAUUUACAGAUAAUGGACCGUUUGAUUCGAACCUCUGUCAUUAGAUGACGCUAGUGAGCAUACAAGGACUCAGAUUAUUUAGUAAAAUUGAAGAUUCUGCAAAUAAGUUGCAAGAACUUAUAAAUGAUGAGUCAUUUUACUCUGAAUUUCGCUCAUAGGUGGCGUCAGUUAGCAUGUAAUUUGUAUCUCAUAUAGCACAAGAGCCUGCAAGUCAUAAUCCCAGUGCACAAUGUCUGCGCGCACUCAGAAAAAAAAACACCACUCAGUGCACAGGCAGAGUGUUCACAGGGGGCUGUUCAAAUAUUUCGAUGAGCCAAACGCAUACCAGUGGAUCCCAAAAAAAGCUAAGAGACAUCACAUCUUGUGAUAUCAGAGACAAACAGACACAACAAUAACACAAUUUCUCAACCAUAUAUCUCAGGGUUUUAAUUACUUGGAGUGUUGGUGUGCUCGGCAAUACUGUUAGCUGGUCGAGGACUAACAGUUGAUGGGCCGUUUGAUUCGAAAUUUCACUAAUAGGUGGCGCUAAAGAGCCUAUAAAGAGCCGCUGGUUACUUAGAAAGAUGGUUUCCACGGCAAAACUGUUUGGUAAGUUAAGAGCUUACAGUUUGAUGAUGCAAAAUUUCAUCUCUAGGCGGUGCUAAUUACAAAUUUAGUUACAAAUAGGUUGCAAAUGAUUAAAAUUUCUAAAAAUGUAUUCAACAAGCUGUAACUUUUUCCUCUUCAGACAAAUUUGAGUCAAGUCAAAUGGUAAACAAAGACCAAUUUAUUAGUCAUACAUUUUCAAAAUUUCAUUAAAUUUGGUUUACUUACCCCUAAGAUAUAGUAGUUUAUUGGACUGCAGUGAAAUUAGAAGAAUUUUACUAGAAACACUUCAACUUCAAGUAGAGUUAACCAAUCCAGCCAAAAUUUGUACCAAUUAUAGCUAACUAGUUGGGGAUCUUGCAGUCAAAAUUUGGUGCAUUUAAUAAGAAGUUAUGGCUUGUUUAAAAUUUUCUGGCUAAUAAUUAAAAUUUCUAUGUUUUUGUAAAUUUGCUACUAGCGCCACCUAAUGACAGAAACUCGAACCAAAUAAUAAUUCACCUUGAUCUUCUUAACAGCUUUGCCGAAGAUACCAUAUUUCUAAAUAAUCAGGAUCCUGAGAUUUGUAAAAUUUAAAAUUUGUUUUCACUCUAGCCACGCCUAGUGGUAGAAUUUCCAAUCCACUACGAUUUCCAGUGCUACUCUCUCUCUUGCUCAAACAGUAUGCCACACCAUCGAGUAUGUUUAACGAUGCUAUCCGCACGGCCACAAGUUUGUCAUGUAAGUAGAACAAACAUAUAUCCACAUAUAAAUUGUACUCAUUGUCACUAUGUUGUACAGCGUGAGCCACGACGCAAAAAAGUAGCUUGUUCAACAAAAUGGGUAAACCUGAAAGUUAUGACAAUGAAUCCUGAGAUAAAUGAGAUGUUUAAUUUGCAUGCUCGGUACCGCCAUCUACAUGUGGAGUUCCGAAUUAUACGGUCGAUUAACUGUAAGUCGUUGAUCUACCCAACAACAUUGUUUCUUUGAGCUCAGAAUCCUGAAAUAUAUGACAUAUACAAUUUGCAUGCUGACCAAUGCCAUCUACGUAUGGCGAAUUUACAAAUUUAACGGCCAAUGCACUAAGGGCCAGAAUCGCAAUCUAGCGGAACUAAAUUAAUUACUCCAAAACGAAGCAUUUCUGAUACAUGGUGUCUUCGGCAAAGUUGUUUGACAUCAGCAGGGGCAUCUAUUGCUUAGAACGUAAUAGUUCGCAACUCGUCCACAUAGGUGGCGCCACCAUCUAACUUCUUUGUUUUACGUCCUAGAGACUUGGUUCCUUCGGCAAAGUUGUUUAUUUUGGAAAAAUAAACAACUCUUUCUCAGACGUCAAAAUUCCACAGCCUACUGUUUUCGAGUUAUUUAAAAAAUAUAAACCAAUCAAUGAAAAAAAUAGGUUUUUAAGCUUAUUUUGACAUUUUUACUUGAAACCUUGUGAGUUUAAUUUUUUUCCUAAUGCAUGUGUGUCAAACCAAACACAUUGUAUGGGAAUAUGUUGAAUAUUAUCAUUAAAAACUCAAAAUAAAAAUACAAAUUUAAAAAAAUAGUGUAAAUUUCAAGCCUUAAUAUCUCACAAAGCGCAAAAAAUCGCAACUUCAAAUUUUCAGCAAAUACGAAGCAAUACUAGGUGACCAUACUGCCAAAAAUUUGGAGAGGUAUUUUUUGGUGUUUUUGAGAUAAUAGCUUUUUAGUAACAGUAUUAAUAUAAGUAGUGCCAGCAUGUAACUUUUUACUGCUACACAUUAGAGAGUUCAUGUCUUCAAAAAAGUUGUUCAUUUUGACUAAAUAAACAACUCUUUCUUAGACGUCAAAAUUCCACGGCCUACUGUUUUCGAAAUAUUGUAUAUAACCUAAAUUGUAUUGAUAAAAACUUAUAUUAAAACACAUUUUGAUGCAAUACUAUGAACUUUUUUUAUUGUUUUUACUUUUACGAUACAUAGUAGGUCAAGCAAAUGUCAGUUAACUAUUUCAGCAUAGGUCAAGAUAUCUUUUAAUUUUUGGCAUGUCUUUUUCAAAAUGUUUAAAGUUUAACCAAUUUUGUCAACCUUUUUAAAUUUUAGAGCGCGAAAUAUCUUGUCAAAAGCUCGUGGAUCUGUUCCUGGAUGGAAAGGACGUUGGUCGAAGAUUGUGAAACUGUAGCUCCACGAAACUGACAUGUUCAUGACCUACUAUGUAUCGUAAAAGUAAAAACAAUAAAAAUAGUUCAUACUAUGGCAUCAAAAUGUGUUUAAUUGUCAUUUUUUCUCAAUAUAAUCUAAUUUAUAUGCAAUAAUUCGAAAACAGUAGGCCAUGGAAUUUUGACGUCUAGGAAAGAGUUGUUUAUUUAGUCAAAAUGAACAACUUUUUCGAAGACAUGAACUCUCUAAUGUGUAACAGUAAAAAGUUACAUGCUGAUACUACUUAUAUUUAUACUGUUACUAAAAAGCUAUUAUCUCAAAAACACCAAAAAAUACCUCUCCAAUCUUUUACAGUAUGUUCACCUAGUAUUGCUUCGUAUUUGCUGAAAAUUUGAAGUUGCGAUUUUUUGCGCUUUGUGAGAUAUUGAGGCUUGAAAUUCACACUAUUUUUACGAAUUUGUAUUUUUAUUCUGAGUUUUUAAUGAUAAUAUUCAACAUAUUCCCAUACAAUGUGUUUGGUUUGACACACAUGCAUUAGGAAAAAAAUUAAACUCACGUGGGUUCUAGUAAAAAUGUCAAAAUAAGCUUAAAAACUGUUUUUUCAUUGAUUGGUUUUUAUUUUUUAAAUAACUCGAAAACAGUAGGCUGUGGAAUUUUGACGUCUAAGAAAGAGUUGUUUAUUUUGCCAAAAUAAACAACUUUGCUGAAGACGCCAAGUCUCUAGGACGUAAAACAAAGAAGUUAGAUGGUGGCGCCACCUAUGCGGACGAGUUGCGAACUAUUACGUUCUAAGUAAUAGAUGCCCCUGCUGACGGAAAAAAACUUUGUCGAAGACACCAUGUGUCGGAAAUGCUUCGUUUUGGAGUAAUUAAUUUAGUUCCGCUAGAUUGUGAUUCUGGCCCUUAGUGCAAUGGUCAGUAAGUACUUGGUCUAGGCAACAACUUUUCCGAAGACUCCAUCUUUCUAAGUGAUCAGAAUCCCGCCAUAUAUAUGAGAUAUAUGAAAUAUGCGUGCUCAGUAACGCCACCUUUACGUGGAGUUCCAAAUCAAACGCUGCAUCACCUGUAAGUCCUUGACGUACCCAACAACUAUGCCGGAGAUAUCAUCUUUCUAGGUGCUCAAGAUCCUGAGAUAUAAAAUAUAAAAUUUGCACGAUUAGUUGCGCCAUCUAUGUGUGAAAUUUUCAAACAAACGGUCCGUCAUUAGUAAACACUUGACCCUAUAAACUACUUUGCCAAAGACACCAAAUUUCUAUGUGGUCAGGAUCUUGAUAUAAAUGUGAUCAUAUACUUAAUACUUACAUGCUCACUAGCGCCACCUAAGUGUGAAGUUCAGAAUCAAACGGACCAGCAUCUGUCAGUCCUUGAGCAACUCAACAACUUUGCCGAAGAUACCAUCAUUCUAGGCGAUCAGAAUCCUGAGAUAUAUUAGUAUAAAAUUUGCACGCUCAGUAGCGCCAUCUAUGUGUGAAAUUUUCAAACAAACGGUCCACCAUGAGUAAACAAUGUAACUAAUAAACAAAUGUGCUGAAGACACCAAAAUUCUAUGUGGUAGGAUCUUGAUAUAUAUGUGCUCAAAUACUGAAUACUUACAUGCUCACUAGCGCCACCUAUAUAUAUGAAAUUCCGAAUUAAACGGUCCAGCAUCUGUAAGUCCUUGGCCAACCCAACAACUUUACUGAAGAUACCGGUAUUCUAAUAAAUCAGGAUCAUGCGAUCCAGAAGAACGAAUUUGGGGUCCAAAUGGACCCCAGGUUUUCGAAAUGAACCAUAUUUUAAGGUUUCCUGUAGAGGGUUAAGGUACUUUUUCAGGGAUUUCUCCAUAUAUUCCUUCCAGAAUUCCACUUGAGAUUGCUCCAAUAAUUCCGUUUGGAAUUAUUCGAAGUAUUUCUGCAGGAUUGUCUUUCAGAAAUUCAUUCAGAAAAUUAUACUAGAGAUUAUUCAAAAUUUAAUCCAGGAAUUGCUUCGAAAUUUCGUUCAAAAAUUCCUUUAAGAGUCCAUCCAAUUAUUCCUUCAAUACUUUUUCAUCUAGGGAUUCAAACUAGGAAUUCUACCUCUCCUGAGAUUCCCUAAGGAUUGCUUCCGACAUUCCUCCAAGAUUUCAUCCAGCGAUUCGCCCGGGAAUUCUUCCUGUGAUUCUUUCAAGAACAACUUCCGGGAUUGUUUUAAAAUACUUCCAGGAACUCUUCUUGGGAUUCCUUCUGUAAUUCCUCCUGGAAUGCUUUCAGAAACUCCUCCAAGAGUUAACCCAAGACUUCCUCCAGGAACUGUUUAGAGAUUCCCUUAGGAAUUCCUCUUGUGAUUGAUUCCGAGAUUCCUCCCGGAAUCUCUUCCAGAACUUCUGCAGCAAUUCCACCAAGAGUUCCUAUAAUACGUAUUCUUUCAAGGAUUCCUGCAGGAUUUCCUCAAGAAUUUCAAGCGAUUUCUUCAGUACAAACACCUGGAAUUACCUCAGAAAUUGAUCCUUGGAGUUCUUCAGGAAUUUGUCCUGGGAUUCCUCCAGAAAUUUCCCAAGGAAAUCCUCCAAAAUUUCUUUCAUGAAUUGUUCCUGGAUUCCUCUGAGAAUUCCUGCAGGGAUUCGUCCAUAAAUUCCUGUAGAGAUUCCCCUAGGAAUUCCUCCAGAGAUUCAUCCGGGAAUUCCUCUGGAGAUUUCUCAAGGAAUUCCCCUAGAGAUUCCACCAGGAAUUCUUACAGGCAUAUCUCCGGCAAAUUCUCCCGGGGUUCCUCGAGGCAUUCCUUCAGGAACUCCUCUAGGGAAACCUCUAGGAAUUGCUUUUGGAAUUCCUCCAUGAAUUCUUUUAGGAGAGGUAUUCCUUCUGGAGUUCCUCCAAGGAUUUUUAUAGAAAUUACUCUAGAGACUUCCAGGUUUUCAUUCACUGCUUCCUCCAGGAAUACCUUUAAGAAUUCCUCCAGGAAUUUCCCCAGGAAUUGAUCCAGGGAUUCCUUCAGAAUUUACUGCGGCAAUUUCUCCAUGAAAUCCUUCAGGAAUUCCUUCAGAAAUUCUCCCAAGAACUCCUCUCGGAAUGUGGAAUUAUUAUUGCUCCAGGUAUUCCUCCAGGAUCUCAGCCAGGCCUUUUCCAGAGAUUCAACCAAGAAUACCUUCAGGAAUUCUUCCAGAAAUUGAUCCAGGAAUUCCUUUGGAAAUUGAUCCAGGAAUUCCUUUGGAUUUUUUCAAGAAUCCCUUUACGAAUUUUUCAAGAGAUUCAUGCGAGAAUUCUUCCAGGGGUUCCUACAGGAAUUUAUCCAGGAACUUCUCCUCCAGGGAUUCCUGCAGAGAUUCAUAUAGGAAUCAUUUCACGGAUUCUUCCAGAAAUUCCACUAGGAAUUCUUCCAGGAAUUUACCAGGAAUUCCUUCGAGGAUUCCUCUAAAGAUACUUCCCGAGAUUCCUCCAGGAAUACCUCCGAUGAUUCCUCAGGGAACUCCUUUAGGAAUUUGUCCAGAAAUUUCUCCAGGACUUCCUCUCGAGAUUACUCCAGGAUUUUUUCCAGGUAUAGUUCCACGGAAUUACCCCAAGAAUUCCUCAUGGGAUUCCGCCAGGAAUUCUUCUAAGAAUUCCUCCAGAAAUUUCUCUAAGGAUUCCUUCAGGAAUUUCUCAAGUGGUUUCUUCAGAAAUUACUCCAGGGAUUCCUCCAGGUACUGCUGUAGGAUUUCCGCCAGGAAUUUCUUCCAGAGACUUAUCUGGGGUCUCCAGUUUGCCUAGUGGUUAAGGCUAUGGAUCGCCAAUCCGGAGACGGCGGGUUCGAUUCCCGUUCCGGUCGGGAAAAUUUUCUCGACUCCCUGGGCAUAGUGUAUCAUUGUACUUGCCUCACAAUAUACAAAUUCAUGCAAUGGCUGGCAAAGAAAGCCUUUCAAUUAAUAACUGUGGAAGUGCUCAAAGAACACUAAGUUGAAGCGAGACAGGCCAAGUCCCAGUGGGGAAGAAGACUUAUCUAGAAAUUUAUCUAGGGCAGUGAUCCUCAGGCCUAUUUUUUCAACAGCUAUUAUCACAACAUUUAUAUUUAUUUGCCAAACAUUCUAGCAGUUAUUCUUCAUUACUCCGGGAGUAGACCAUCUUCCAGAAGAAACAUUACAGAGAAUUCUACCAAAACAUAGAGAUCCAGACAUCACAUGCGGUCCGCGGGCCGCACUUUGGUCACCACGGAUCUAGAGAUUGCUCCGGGAAUUCUUCCAGAGGUCCCUCCUAGAAAUCCUCUGGAGAUUCCACCAAAAACUUCUCCAGGGAUGCCUCCAGGAAAUCCUCCAAUUAAUCCUUCAGAAAUCCAAGAAUUACUCUAGAGAUUCCUCCAGGAAUUCCUCCAGGGAAUCUUCUAGAAAUGGCUUCAGCGAUUUCUCCAGGAAUUCCUCCCGGCCGGGAUUCCUCUAGCGAUUCCUUCAGAAAUUUCUCCAGGGAUUUCUCCCAUAACUGCUCUAAUGAUUCCUGCAGGAAUUUAUCCAGAGAUUCCUCCAGGUAUACUUUCUGAAAUCCCUCCUGAGAUUCCUACAAGGAUUUCUCAAGGAAUUCCUGCAGAAACUUCUCUAGAGAUACCUCAAGCAAUUCUUCCAGAUUCCACCAGAGAUUCCUCCAGGAAUUCUUCCAAGAAUUCUUUCAGGGAUUCUUCCAGAAAUUUGUCCAGUGAUUCUUCCUGAAAGUUCUUCGGUGAUUCUUCGAGAAAAUCAUCCGGAUUUUUUCCAGGGAUUUCUCUAAGGAUUCCUCCAAGCAUUCCACAUGAAAUCUAUGCAGGGAUUCCUACAGGAAUUCCUCUGGAGAUUUCUCAAGAAAUUUCUAGAAAAUCCUCCAGGAAUUCUUACAGGCAUGUCUCCAGGGGUUCUUUCAGGAAUUUCUCUAGGGAAUCCUCUAGGGAUUGCUCUAGGAAUUCCUCCAUGAAUUCUUUUAGGAAAACCAUUCUGGAUUUCCUCCAAGGAUUUCUAUAGGGAUUCAUCCAGGCAUUCUUCCAGGAUUUAAUUCACUCAUCACUCCAGGAAAACCUUAAAGAAUUGCACCAGGAAUUCCUCCCGGAGUUUGUCUAGGAAUUAUUCAAGGUAUUUCUCCAGCCAAUCCUCCAGGAUUUGUUACGGGUAUAAAUUUUUGUUACAAUUAUAAGACAGAAUAAUUGUUAAAUGUGUUAUAAAUUUUAUAUUCGUACGUUCUUUGUGUUAUAUGUUAUAUUUUAACUUGUAAAUAUUCCUCGAGUUUUAAUACACAUUUAUAGGGUUCUGACAGAAUAGAGGUACAUGAAAUGCAAUCCAAUAUUGAUUGCCAACUUUCAGGCCAUUUCUGGCAGCGGUCAAGUACUAGAGAUGUAAACCUUUCCCUGCCACGGACUUCAAGUUGUUGAUCUCAAGUAUCGAACCCCGAUUAGGAUUAGUUUUCCUAGACAAAACCAAGCGUUGAACACAGCAACAAAUGCUGUGAACUAAAAGGCAGGAUGCCAACUAAAAUACAAUUCCAGGAUGACUGAUGGACCCAAACCAAUAAAUGAAACCUCGUCAUCCUGUGAUCGGAAGGAGUUAUCCAUCUGGAUAACAGGGCACAUUUAUGUUACGUGUUGUGCUGCUUCAAUUUGUGAUGUUCCUAAUUUGUGCAUUUGUAAGGUUCUAUGUGUUCGUGAUGUGUUAAUCCUUUGUAAUAAUAUAUUUUCUUUUAUUUUUGUAACAGACUCCAUCGAGGCAUUUCUCUAAGAACCCCUCCAGGAAUUCCACCAAGAAUACCUCCAGGCAUUCCUUCAGGAAUUCUCCUAGGGAAUCCUCUAGGGAUUGCUCCUGGAAUUGCUCCAGGUAUUCUUUUAGGAAUACCUCCAGGCAUUCCUCCUGGAGUUCCUCCAGAGAUUCAUCCAGGCUUUUCUCCAGGAUUUCAUUCAAGGACUCCUUCAGAAAUACCUUCAAGAAUUCAACCAGGAAUUACCCCUGGAAUUUCUCCCGGAAUUUAUCCAGGCAUUCCUCCAGGAUUUCAUCCAGGCAUUUUGCCAGGGACUCAUCCAGGAAUUCCACCAAUACUACCUUCACGAAUUACCCGAAUUUCUUCAGGAAUUCCUCCAGAAAUUGAAACAGGAAUUCCUUCAGAAGCUCCUAUAGCAACUCCCCCAGGAAUUUCUAAAAGCAGUCCUCCAGGGAUUCCUGAAUAAAUUCGUUUAGGAAUUUCUUCAGGAUUUUUUACAGGGAUUCCUCCGGGAAUUCUACCAGGGUUUCCCCCAGGAAUUCAUCCAGGAAUUUCAGGAAAUUCCUCCUGAGAUUCCGCCAGGAAUUUGUCCAGAAGCUCCGCCAGGCAUUUCUCCUGAGGGUCCUCCAGAAAUUGCUUAAGAGAUUCCUCAAGUAAUUCCUCCAGGAAUUUCUCAAGAGGGUCCUUCAGAAGUUUCUCCAGGAUUUCCUUCCAGAAUUCGUCUAUGGAGUCCUCCAAGAAUUCAUCCAGGGAUUCCUUCAGGAUUUUGUCUAGGGUUUGCUCCAGGAAUUCUUCCAGGAAUUUCUCUUGGAAUUCUCCAGGGAUUCCUCCUGGGAUUUUUUUCAGGAAUUCAGAAUUCAUCUAGGGAGUGUUCCGGGAAUUCUUCCAGAGGUCCCUCCCAGGAAUCCUCUAGAGAUUCCACCAGGAAUUUCUCCAGGGAUGUCUCCAGGAAAUCCAAGGAAUAAUUCUUGAAAAAUUCCUCCAGGGAUUCCUCAAAGAGCUCCUCCAGGAAUUUCUUCGGGGAUUCCGCCAGGGAGUUCUUCUGGGGUUCCAUCAAGAAUUUGUCCAGAAGUUCCUCCAGGAUUUCCUCAGGGAUUCCUCUGGGAAUUACUUCAGGGAUUUCUACAUUAACUCGUCCAUGGAUUCCUCCAAAAAUAUGUCUAGGAAUUCUUGCCGAGUUUUCUCACGUUCAAAUUUUUUUUUUCAGACAUUGCUCCAGGGAUUUCUCCAAAGAUUCCUCCAGGAAUUCAACCAGGGAUUCCUCCAGGUAUACUUUCUUAAAUUCCUCCAGGGAUUCUUACUGGGUUUACUCCAGACAUAACUGCAGAAAUUCUACUAGGGAUUUCUCGAGAAAUUCCCUCAGGUAUUGCUGCAGAAUAUGCAUGAAUACAAAGUUUCCUAUCAAAUUUAUUUUACCAUAGGCGUUUCCUGUAAGAAUCCUGGCCCCCAGGCCCCCCUCUAGCUACGCCAAUGAAUGUCUAAGAAUCAGAACUAAAUUAUUUCACAAUGAGUUAUUGAACAACAUUGUAACAUAAUAUGAUACAAUUGAGUUAUAAUAUUUUUAAGCACCAAUGAUGUUAAACAUGAUUAUAUCACAAUGAGUUAUACAUAUCAAGGUUUGUUAUAAUUAUGUUAUAUUAUAGUAAGAAUCUUCUAGUCGGGUUGUGCAUAGAAUAUCUUUGUGCCUGCCAUGAGAGUCCAGCACCUUGUCGAAGUCCCCUUGUGGGACCCUUAGGCAGUUUCUUACACCGUUCAUAGUCGCUUUGGUGAAUCUAAUGAGCUUACCGGAGAAGCCGUUUCCGUCCAGGAUUUCCCCAAGCUCUCUGCGGUCGAUAGUCCAGGAUCUCGUCAUCGAUUACGAUGAGGAACGGUAGCGGUGAUUGUAUACAUCCUUGCCUCACUCCAGCAACGACCCGGAUAUGGGAUCGGACAAGACACACCGUUGCGCAGUACUACUCUGCACGAAAAUGCCCUGUACUGUGCUUCAAUGAGGCCGAUGAUUUGCGCCUGAGGGCUUCCCACACGUUUUCGUGAUUGAGAGACGGUCGAAAGCUUUUCCGUAAUCGAUGAACACCAGGCAGAGAGACUCUUGGAAUUCAUGACAAUAUGGUCCACACAGGAUCGUCCGGCACGGAAUCCUGCUUGCUGCCGUCGGAGAGUUGCGUCAAUCUUCUCCUGUAUCCGGUUAAGGAUCACUUUGCAAUGGACUUUGAGAGCGAUACACAGCAACAUGAUGCCCCGCCAAUUAUCGGAUACAGUCAGGUCACCCUUUUUGGGUACCUUUACUAAAGACGCCUUGCAUGCAGUCGACCGGAAAUGUCGCGGUUUCCCAUAUGUUGCAGAACAAUUGAUGCAGUAGUUAGUUGUGCGGAUACUACGGGGUCAGCUUUGAGCAUCUCAGCUGAUAUGCGAUCGACCCCUGGGGCCCUGUUCGAUUUCAUGCUACGGAUGGCUGUUUCUAUCUCCUGCACUGAUGGAGCUUCGGUGUUGACACGGGUAAUGCGUCGAACCCUUGGCGGAUCAUGCUGAGGUGUUGAUGGAGUGACCAACACUUGAAAAAGGUGUCCAAAGUGCUCGAACCAGCGUUGCAACUGAUCAGCCGGGUCGGUCAAUAACUGUCUUUCACGGGCAUCGUAGCAUUCAUCUUAGUCCCACUAAGGUGACGUGAAACAUCGUAGAGGAGACGGAUGUCGCCGGUGUUAGUGGCUUUUGUCCCGUCUAUAUGAGCGUUUCACUUCCUUCUCGAGAGCCGAAUAGCGCUGACGGGCUACGGCUUUGGCUCCUCGUGUUUUCGCUAGCUCUAUCGCGGCUUUGGUGUUUUCUUGGAUAGCUGCCACAUUAACGCCAAUAUUCUGCAGUUCAUUCAAAGUUCUCACGUUACAAGAUCCGACUUUACAAUCGUUGUCCUUGAUUCGUUGCCGGGUCUGUUGCCGUUGAAACAAUCCGUUUGCUAUACUUUUGCUUCUCUUGGUGUUUGAAGGUUUUCAGCAGGCUACCUUACCGGGACCGCGCUGCCUACAUCGCACUGAAGAGGCUGCCUCCUUAGGUAUAGCUGACGCGAUACAGCAUUUCAUACACUGCCGCUGGAUGCCAGCACAGACGCUGUUUGAGCCGCACCUCCUUGGUGAACAGACGCUUGGGACGUACCUCCUCAAUCUAGCUGAAGUCAGAAGGACAACAGUGCCCAGGCUGCACUACCAGCUAAGCACACCACUCUUAGCUGGUGGUCUUUGGCAUCGCUUGAUCCGUGGAAGCAUGAGGUAGGCAAGGCACUUGUAAGGACGGUGUCCGGCCAUUUGGCCGAACGCCGUUUGGCCGAAUGCCGUUUGGCCGAAUGCCAUCUGGCCGAAUGGCCGUUUGGCCGAAUUAUGUUCAAAAGAAUUCAGAGGAAGUUUCUGACAUUCCAACUACCAUAAUGAUCAUCAGAAAUAUUUCCUUCUUUUAAUCAUAGGCUAUUCUUUCUAGUUUUGGUAUUCAGGGAUGAAUUGGCGUUGAACCUAUCAAUAUUUUAUCAAAGAUUUUUCCUUCUUGGAAUCAUAGGCUGUUCUUUCGAGUUAUACUUAUGCGAGGAAUAGUGACAUGGUCACUUAAGUUCAUCAUUUAUUUUCGGCCAAACGGCAUUCGGCCAAAUGACCCUUUCGGCCAAAUGGCGUUCGGCCAAACGGCAUUCGGCCAAAUGGCGUUCGGCCAAAUGACCCGGAACCUGUAAGGACCAGAGCUAUGUUGGACGCUCUCCUUUUAUCGACUCACCGUUUUGCAGCCCACCAUGGGUACUCAUUUAAAACAACAAAAAAAAACAAAAAUAAGACACAAAACAAACAGCGCUUCAAUCCUUUCUUUUGUAGGAUGAAAAUUGGCGCCCUAUGCUUAAUAAGGGAACCGAUGCCCUAUCUGUUGACAUCCUAUGCCAGAUAAGGUACACCGGGGUAAGUUGAAACAGCUAGUUAACUUGAUAUUAUCUAAUCAUGAUGAACAA